rnacentral:rRNA from 1 species
UACAGAGGCCUCGAGCGUUAGGCGGAAUCACUGGGCUUAAAGCGUGUGUAGGCGGACUUCUAAGUACCUUGUGAAAUCCCACGGCUUACCCGUGGAACUGCUCGGUAUACUGGGAGUCUUGAGCCACCUUGGGGCGAGUGGAACAAAUGGUGGAGCGGUGAAAUGCGUAGAUAUCAUUUGGAACGCCAAUGGUGAAAACAACUCGCUGGGGGUGUGCUGACGCUGAGACACGAAAGCCAGGGGAGCGAACGGG